rnacentral:rRNA from 1 species
AUACGGAGGAUCCGAGCGUUAUCCGGAUUUAUUGGGUUUAAAGGGUGCGCAGGCGGCCAUUUAAGUCAGCGGUUAAAUCGUGGGGCUCAACCCCAUUCUGCCGUUGAUACUGGGUGGCUUGAUUGCGGUCGAGGUUGGCGGAAUUCGUUGUGUAGCGGUGAAAUGCAUAGAUAUGGCGAAGAACACCGAUUGCGUAGGCAGCUGACCAGACCGCAAAUGACGCUCAUGCACGAAAGUGCGGGGAUCGAACAGGAUUAGAUACCCUGGUAGUCCGCACAGUAAACGAUGAAUACUUGUUUUCGGCGAUAUAAUGUCGGAGGCAAAGCGAAAGCGAUAAGUAUUCCACCUGGGGAGUACGCCGGCAACGGUGAAACUCAAAUGAAUUGACGGG